rnacentral:rRNA from 1 species
GUGUUGUUGGGUAGGGGAGCGUUCUGUAAGCCUGCGAAGGUGUGCUGUGAGGCAUGCUGGAGGUAUCAGAUGUGCGAAUGCUGACAUAAGUAACGAUAAAGCGGGUGAAAAGCCCGCUCGCCGGAAGACCAAGGGUUCCUGUCCAACGUUAAUCGGGGCAGGGUGAGUCGACCCCUAAGGCGAGGCCGAAAGGCGUAGUCGAUGGGAAACAGGUUAAUAUUCCUGUUCUUGGUGUUACUGCGAAGGGGGGACGGAGAAGGCUAUGUUAGCCGGGCGACGGUUGUCCCGGUUUAAGCAUGUAGGCUGGUU